AAAAAAACUGCUAUGUUUUUCUAAUUUUAUUACUUUGAUUCCUGAAUGGAGUGAAAUGUGGAAUUUCUCUUUUUAUUUUCCAGGACGGUUGAGAAAAUAUUCUGCAGUGACAUAUACUCAAUCCUUGCAGGGUAUUACAUCAUUGGGAAUGAUGUGCGCACUGUCACGCGCUGGUGUCUCCAGAAUCUUAUAAACAAAGGAGAUGUUUGUGAGGACUUUGGAUGCAUUUUAUGGCCCAGUGCAUCUUAUAGUCUGAAGAAUACAGUACUUCUUUCUACUAUACUUUUCCAAAGUGACUUCCAGGGACCCUUAGCAAUCUGUGUCUUUGUAGACCUCCAAUUGGGCCAGAUGACCGUGUCCUGCUGAAAACCAUCCUACACUCUGCCAUCUACUACCAUAGCCAUCAGAUCAGAGAAGAGGGGCAAGAGGAGGACUCACAACACCGCAGUCUGCAUGGCUGAAACAGCAUCAACACCAGGAAUCAUGCAUUGCUAUCUGUACUGUGUUUUCUAUACCCCCUCCUUUAAACAAUGAUCAUCUGAAUUCUUUUAAAAGGUCCUGACCCUUUCCAUGCAAUAGGACCUGCAUGACACAUAUAAUGCAUAAGGUUAGUAUAUGUGUUGUGUGCUACA